rnacentral:rRNA from 1 species
AUUGAACGCUGGCGGCAGGCCUAACACAUGCAAGUCGAACGAGUGGCGGACGGGUGAGUAAUGUCUGGGAACCUGCCUGAUGGAGGGGGAUAACUACUGGAAACGGUAGCUAAUACCGCAUACCAUCAGAUGUGCCCAGAUGGGAUUAGCUUGUUGGUGGGGUAACGGCUCACCAGGGCGACGAUCCCUAGCUGGUCUGGGAGGAUGACCAGCGACACGGGAACUGAGCCACGGUCCAGACUCCUACGGGAGGCAGCAUUAGAGAAUAUUGCACAAUGGGCGCAAGCCGGAUGCAGCGAUGCCGCGUGUAUGAAGAAGGCCUUCGGGUUGUAAAGUACUUUCAGCGGGGAGGCGGUACCCGCAGAAGAAGCACCGGCUAACUCCGGGCCAGCCGCCGCGGUAAUAC